rnacentral:rRNA from 1 species
GACGAACGCUGGCGGCGUGCUUAACACAUGCAAGUCGAACGGAAAGGCUCCAGCUUGCUGGAGUACUCGAGUGGCGAACGGGUGAGUAACACGUGGGUAAUCUGCCCUGCACUCUGGGAUAAGCCUGGGAAACUGGGUCUAAUACUGGAUAUGACCUUUCUCCUUAUGGGGUUUGGUGGAAAGUUUUUCGGUGUAGGAUGAGCCCGCGGCCUAUCAGCUUGUUGGUGGGGUGAUGGCCUACCAAGGCGACGACGGGUAGCCGGCCUGAGAGGGUGAUCGGCCACAUUGGGACUGAGAUACGGCCCAGACUCCUAUGGGAGGCAGCAGUGGGGAAUAUUGCACAAUGGGCGGAAGCCUGAUGCAGCGACGCCGCGUGAGGGAUGACGGCCUUCGGGUUGUAAACCUCUUUCAGCAGGGACGAAGCGUAAGUGACGGUACCUGCAGAAGAAGCACCGGCUAACUACGUG